rnacentral:lncRNA from 1 species
CUAACAAAUAACAUGCCUAUCCGUAAUUCACAAAAUAGCAUCAGUAUUAAUUUCAAAAGUCUCUUUCUAGUUAGGACAAGGGAUCAAUUUAUUUUGUAAAUAGCAAGAGGUAAGAACCUUCUUAUGACGUUGGCCUUGUGACGUCAGCCCGGGUCCCAGGAAGUAUAGUUGUUUUCAUUCUUUCUUUAAACAUUUGAGGAACCACACGGGGACACUCCCUGCCUUGGGCAGAAAUUCCUCUGUGUCAAGGGCCUUCACUCAAACUGGGAGUGCGGUGGAGAAGGGAGUGGGCAGCAGGGGAAAAGCGUAACAACAGCACCAAUUGUGUCUGCCAGGGUACCUGACACUCCUGCCCAGCUCACAUUUCAGGAAAACCGGACUUCAGUAGCUCUGAAUAUUUAAUAGCAUUAGGUAAAAUCAAAAGGACAGAUUAUCUCCUCUCUAUCACAAACACAGAAUAAUUCCUUUUUGUAUUCUGACACUUCAUCCGAUCUAUAUACACCAAGAAAGUAAAAGAGGUUUUGAUUCCUAAAAUAAAACAAUUAGAAUAUAAUGGGGAACAGACGCAGCUUCAGUUAGCUUCAGGGCUUGUUGCUUUUUCUGAUCCUUAUAUUCAAUUUUGUCUUCACUUCCAAAAAGGCUGAAAAUUCACAGCUAUGUUAUCAUCCAGUCUAAAAACUACACCUGCACGGUCCCAUACUAGUCUUUAGUAAGGUAAGUGUUCCUUUGUCUAGCUGCCUAGCACUCUGUAACUUCCAGCUCUAAAAUCUCAUGAUGCCUACUCAACAUGAAGGAAACGGUCAAGCAAUGGGCUGUUCUUUUAACUACACCUGCAGCUGCGGAAGCCCGGACAAAUGAAUGAAGACAGCCACCCUCAUUCAUCUCUGCUGUUUAAAAAAUACGAGCGCAGUGACCUGUCAAAGUCACCACGCUGGAGUUCCCAGCCCCUGGAACUAAGACAGUAUCCCAGAAGAAAUCGACAAGGUCAGAGAUGAAGUUGAGAUUCUUGUAAAGUCUGAACAAGCACUGGAGGUACUGAGUCAUUUACAAGGAAUCAUCAGAGGUCUUUUUGCUUCUGUUUUGUUUGUUUUUGUUUUGAGAUGGAGUCUCGCUGUGUCACCCAGGCUGGAAUGCAGUGAUGUGAUCUCGGCUCACUGUAAUUCCACUUCCCAGAUUUAAGAGACUCUCCUGCCUCAGCCUCCCAAGUAGCUGGGAUUACAGGCACCUGCCACCACCCAGCUCUUUUUUCUAUUUUUAGUAGAAACGGGGGUUUCGCCAUAUUGGCCAGGCUGGUCUCAAACUCCUGAGCUCAAGUGAUCAGCCCACCUCGGGCUCCCAAAGUGCUAGGAUUACA